CUCUAGGUGUGCUGAGUGGAACUGGAGAGGGAAGGGUGCCAUGUGAGCUUGUGAAGACGGUGGGCAGUGCCUCCCAAACUUGCCCUAUUGUAAAAAUUGCCUAAGGGCUGGUUGGAAAUGCUAUUCCUGGUUGGAAUCAGAGAUCUCCUGGGAGGGGAAUCACAGUAGCUCAGGGACCUGGCCGAGACUGGAGGCUUGGGGGUGGCCCCCUGCAAGGAAGCGCUGUCCAAGCAGAGGUCUGAAGGCUCAGUAGGAGUCAGGCAGCUGCCAUGUUGGAGGCUGCCCCAUGGAACGGCCAACGUGCUGAGGAACAGAGGGCACAGGCAGUGAAGGGCAUCGGGGCCUUGAAUCCAGUGGUCCACGAGGAACUGAAUCCUGCCAGCAACCACUCGAGUAAGCUUGGUAUUGGGUCCCCAAUUGAGCCUUGAGAUGACUCCAGCUCAGCUGACAGCUUGACUGCAGCCUGCAGAGGUGCUGAAGUGGAGGACUCAGCUAAGCUGCACCUGGAUCUGUGACCCACAGAAACUGUGAGAUGAUAAAAGUUGUUGUUUCAAGACACUGAGCUUUAGGGUACUUUAUUAUGCAUCAAGAGGCAACUAGUACAAAGUAUAAUUUGGAGGAGACCAGCCAUACCUGUACCCUCCUUAAGUAUACAUUUGUAUAAGUUGAAAUCAUGGUGGGUGCACUAAUUUUGAAGUCUUAAAAAAUCACUUAUCAUUAUGGGGGAGAUAUCAUUCAUCAGGGUCCAUGGUCUGUGUAUGUAUCAGAGUCUGGCCAGAAAACAGAAACCACACCAGGUAUCUUAACAAAAUUUAAUAUGAUGAAUUAGAUGGCUUAAUAACAAGUACAGUGUGAAAGGUGAAAAUCAUCAAUAACCAAUCAUCAAAAUCACUCUCAGAAAAUGUCAUACAUCAUCAGGACCUGUGGCCUUGGAAACUCAAAAGCCAAGAAUUAUUGAGCUUAUUGUGUUUGUUGCAUUUAAGCUUCUCUUCUGUUCCUUUGUGGUGUCAGAGGCUGAGUUUAUUUUGAACAUGAACAGAGAGACUUCUCUCUCCUUGACAAGCGUGAUUUGUUGAAUUAGCUAGUUAGGUGGGAGUGUAGUGGUGAUACACUGUGUAGUAGAAGCAUUCUCCAUGUUUCCAUUCCCCAUCACAGUCACACAGCUGUGGAUUUCCAGGCCUGAUUGUCCAUUGUGUUGAUGUCCCAGUUUAUUAAACCACUUCCUUAUUGUGGUUCCCAGUUUUUGACCUUUAAAGAAAGACUUCAAU
rnacentral:lncRNA from 10 species